UAAAGCAAAAAUCAAGCAAAGAAAUGUAAGAAGCAUGAAAGAGUCCAUGGGGGAAUGAAUUGAACCGACUCCAUUAAGGAAUUCGUUACAGCGCCUGAAGAAGGAAACAUGGAUCACACACUGUGUUUACGUGGAAAAGCUUCUCAUCGUCCCUCAAUCGAUCAAGCAAGAAAUCAACAGUGUACUAUCCAAAAACUUGUGAUUGUGGUUUCCCUACACGUAUUGUAACGUCAACAACACCAAAAGAAUCCAGGGAGACAUUUCAUGGUGUGCAAUGAGGGUAAAUGCAAAUAUUGGAAAUGGUUGGAUGUAGAACCUGUACAAAUGCCUCUAAUGGAAGUGGUGGAGGGAAUGAAAGCUGAAUUAGUAGUAUUGAAGACCGAAGUAGAGAUGUGAAGGAUGACAUGGAACAAAUGAAGAAGGACAAGUGCUAUGAUGCCAUUGCAAUGAAGCAAAAAAUAUACAAGUUUACCAUAGGAUUUUUUUUGACCAUCGUGUAUAUGAUGAAAUGAUGUAUUGGAAGAUGUUGUUUGAAUGGAAUGAAGGCAUUAUCUUAACUUCU